AAAAACUCCCCCUGUUUGUUUUUUUUCUGGGGAAUCUGUAUAUGUGUUUUAACUCCUCUAUAGGUGGGUGAGGUCAUUAGGAGUGGAUUGAGAUCUACAAUCGAAGGGGGAGGGGAGGGAAGACAGAAGAAUAUACCCGAUUCUUGCUCUUCUAGCUCUUGAACUUGUGGAUCUUCCUGAUUAGGGUCUAAUUUUUUUGGGUUUUGGGAUCUUAAUUUUCUAGGGUUUGUGGUGAUUGAGGUUGAAAACAUAAUUGUUCUUGUGGUAGAGCUGGUUGACGUCGUCUCAGGUGAUGUCAUUGCAGUCGACUGACAUUUUGGAGAUGAGAGAGAGAGGUCGGCGGGUCGGACGUCGAUGAGAGAGAGGAUGUAUAUGAGAGAGCUGGGUUGGAG
rnacentral:lncRNA from 1 species